UUCCAAGGGCAGCUUUUUUUCCUAGUCCUCAUCGGCCACAGGGAAAGAAAUUGAGGGUCCAGGUUACAAAGAGCCAGCGCUAAAGAGGAUACCACAGAAGCAGCAGAGCAGACGAGGAAUUUGUGGAAUGUAAAUGUGCUUCCUCCUUUUCCUUCCGUGGGUAAGAAUGCUGCUUUCUCUAGCCUCUUCAUGCCCAGGUGUGACAACACCCCACCGUCCAGAGCCUACGUUCACUCCUCACCUGGUGACAGCUCUGACAGGACUGGAGCAUGCCAUGUUGCUUACAGGAUCAGCCUUUGGCUUUAGAACAGAGCCAGUUUCAAAUCUCUAGGCUAUCCUAUCAUUUAAAGGGUAGAAAUUGAGGAGGGCUAAUCAAAGGGACAAGAGAAGAAUCAAGAAGCCCUGGUGUCAAGAAAGCUAAGAAAGUGACAGGGUCUGCCGCAAAGUGCACAGAGGAGGCUCCAGAAGUGUGAAGAGGAAGGGAAAGGGAAUGAUGAAGAGACCAAAGGCCCAAGAAAGAUUGGAUCCAGAGCACCAGUGGAGGCUCUGGGCAGGAGAAAGUCCAGCUUUGCCUUUGAAAAUAGAGGAGAGGGCUGGAAGGUGAGGUGGCUGCAGAGAACCUGCAGCUCUGAAGGUGGGACUUGAAGGAGUUUGUGAAGAUUGAAUGUUUGUGUCUCACUCCCAAAUUCAUAUAUCAGAGCCCUAACCCACAAUGUGAUGAUAUUUGGAAGUAAAGCCAUUGGAAGGUAAUUAGGUUUCGAUGAGGUCAUGAGGGUGGAGGCUUCAUGAUGGGAUUGGUGACCUUUUAAGAAGAGGAGGAGAACAGAGCCCUCUCUCCUGCUAUGCGAGGAUACAGUGUGAAGGUGGCCGUCCGCGAGCAGGAGCAGACUCUCAGUAACAACUGAAUCUCCUAGCACCUUGAUCUUGGACUUCCCAGCCUCCAGAACUAUGAGAAAUAAAUCUGCCAUUU